GCCGGGCGUGGUGGUGCGCGCCUGUAGUCCCAGCUACUCGGAGGCUGAGGCAGGAGUAUGGCGUGAACCCGGGAGGCGGAGCUUGCAGUGAGCCGCCGAGAUGGUGCCACUGCACUCCAGCCUGGGUGACAAAGCGAGAUUCCGUCUCAA
rnacentral:SRP_RNA from 1 species